rnacentral:snoRNA from 1 species
UGAUCAAUGAUGACCCCCCUCAUAUGUUUUCCUGGGAAAUCCGAACAAAAUGAGGGAGAACCCCCUAAAAAAUUAUAAUUUUAGCAAUUUCC